rnacentral:rRNA from 1 species
UACGGGGGGGGCAAGCGUUGUUCGGAAUUACUGGGCGUAAAGGGCUCGUAGGUGGCCAACUAAGUCAGACGUGAAAUCCCUCGGCUUAACCGGGGAACUGCGUCUGAUACUGGAUGGCUUGAGUAUGGGAGAGGGAUGCGGAAUUCCAGGUGUAGCGGUGAAAUGCGUAGAUAUCUGGAGGAACACCGGUGGCGAAGGCGGCAUCCUGGACCGGUAUUGACGCUGAGGCGCGAAAGCCAGGGGAGCAAACGGG